rfam:Candidatus Spechtbacteria bacterium RIFCSPHIGHO2_01_FTLL_43_30 rifcsphigho2_01_scaffold_40123, whole genome shotgun sequence.
GGGGAUGACUGGCUUCGAUGGGUUACAAUUUUAAAAUAUGCAAACCGAGUAUUCUUGAAUCUCGUAAAACUUCAGGAAUUCACAUAAUAAGUGCAAACUUAUUUACGAAGGUAAGAAAUGCCUUUGCGGGCGUUUUGACCCCUUCACCAGUUUACGCUUAAAUAGCGUAAGCCAUCUAUCAGCUGAUUCUUGAUAGGCGAAAUAGGUGUCACACAUCAAGAUAGAAUAGCGUGUCUGUUCCAACCGCCAUUCGAAAACAAAGGAGCUAGAGACGCGAAAUUUUUGCUUGUUUCAUAUUUUACGCCUCGAACGCAUGUGUUAAGCGCCGUAAUACCCGCGCUUAACGCGGCAUAAACAAGCUAUGUUUGUAGAAAUGUUUUAAUGCAUAAUCCAGACGAGGGUUCAACUCCCUCCAUCUCCACAG